rnacentral:lncRNA from 1 species
GUAUGUAUGUAUGUAUGUAUGUAUGUACAUAUAUGUAUGUAAAUAUCCUUAACAUUUAACAGAUUCUAGAAGGACUAAAAAAAAACUUAACCAUACAGAGAGAAGAAAUCAUGAAACAAAAUAAAGAUAUUGAGAAUUAUAAAAAUGAAGAAACAAAUAUACACAAAACAUAUGAAGAGCAGAUGAAAACUCUACAUGACUUAAUCAUAUCUUUGGAAAACCAAAUAGUCAAACUGAACUCAGAAAAGAAUUUUAAUAAAAUUUUUAUUUUAUGUUCUAUAUGUGGUACUAAAAAUAACGUAGGAGCAAUUUUAAAAAAUAGAAAAUGUUGUAACUGCAGUUCGAUCCUAAUUUUUUUAAAUUAA